GUUGUAAUUUGCAGAGGGCGCUUUGGCUUUGGCAGCGGUCCAAGUUCCUUGGAACAGGACGUCACAGAGGGUGAGAAUCCCGUACGUGGUCGCUAGCUAUUGCCGUGUAAAGCCCCUUCGACGAGUCGAGUUGUUUGGGAAUGCAGCUCUAAAUGGGAGGUAAAUUUCUUCUAAAGCUAAAUAUUGGCCAGAGACCGAUAGCGCACAAGUAGAGUGAUCGAAAGAUGAAAAGCACUUUGGAAAGAGAGUCAAACAGCACGUGAAAUUGUUGAAAGGGAAGCGCUUGCAGCCAGACUUGCUUGCAGUUGCUCAUCCGGGCUUUUGCCCGGUGCACUCUUCUGCAGGCAGGCCAGCAUCAGUUUGGGCGGUGGGAUAAAGGUCUCUGUCACGUACCUCUCUUCGGGGAGGCCUUAUAGGGGAGACGACAUACCACCAGCCUAGACUGAGGUCCGCGCAUCUGCUAGGAUGCUGGCGUAAUGGCUGUAAGCGGCCCGUCUUGAAACACGGACCAAGGAGUCUAACAUCUAUGCGAGUGUUUGGGUGUCAAGCCCGAGCGCGUAAUGAAAGUGAACGGAGGUGGGAACCCGCAAGGGUGCACCAUCGACCGAUCCUGAAGUUUACGGAAGGAUUUGAGUAAGAGCAUGGCUGUUGGGACCCGAAAGAUGGUGAACUAUGCUUGAAUAGGGUGAAGCCAGAGGAAACUCUGGUGGAGGCUCGCAGCGGUUCUGACGUGCAAAUCGAUCGUCAAAUUUGGGCAUAGGGGCGAAAGACUAAUCGAACUAUCUAGUAGCUGGUUCCUGCCGAAGUUUCCCUCAGGAUAGCAGUAACGUAUUCAGUUUUAUGAGGUAAAGCGAAUGAUUAGAGGCAUGGGGGUUGAAACAACCUUCACCUAUUCUCAAACUUUAAAUAUGUAAGAAGCCCUUUGUUACUUAAUUGAACGCGGGCAUUUGAAUGAAACGUUAUUAGUGGGCCAUUUUUGGUAAGCAGAACUGGCGAUGCGGGAUGAACCGAACGAGGGGUUACGGUGCCGGAGUACACGCUCAUCAGACACCACAAAAGGUGUUGGUUCAUCUAGACAGCAGGACGGUGGCCAUGGAAGUCGGAAUCCGCUAAGGAGUGUGUAACAACUCACCUGCCGAAUGAACUAGCCCUGAAAAUGGAUGGCGCUCAAGCGUGUCACCUAUACCCCUCCGCCGGGGCAAAAUUUACGCCCCGGCGAGUAGGCAGGCGUGGAGGCUCGUGACGAAGCCUUGGGGGUGACCCCAGGUCGAACGGCCUCUAGUGCAGAUCUGG
rnacentral:rRNA from 1 species